GACAGAGGGGGCAAGCGUUGCUCGGAAUCACUGGGCGUAAAGGGCGCGUAGGCGGGAUGGCAAGUCGGUCGUGAAAUCCUUCGGCUCAACCGAAGAACGUCGGCCGAUACUGCCGUUCUUGAGGGAUGCAGAGGAGAUUGGAAUUUACGGUGUAGCAGUGGAAUGCGUAGAUAUCGUAAGGAAGACCAGUGGCGAAGGCGAAUCUCUGGACAGUUACUGACACUGAGGCACGAAGGCCAGGGGAGCAAACAGG
rnacentral:rRNA from 1 species